GCUCAGGACGAACGCUGGCGGCAUGCCUAAUACAUGCAAGUCGAACGCUGAAGCACUCUGCUUGCAGAGUGCGGAUGAGUGGCGAACGGGUGAGUAACACGUGGGAAAUCUGCCUAGGAGUGGGGGAUAACAUUCGGAAACGGAUGCUAAUACCGCAUAUCUUUUUGAACCGCAUGGUUCUUAAACGAAAGACGGCUUCGGCUGUCGCUCUUAGAUGAUCCCGCGGCGUAUUAGUUAGUUGGUGGGGUAAAGGCCUACCAAGACCAUGAUACGUAGCCGACCUGAGAGGGUGAUCGGCCACACUGGGACUGAGACACGGCCCAGACUCCUACGAGAGGCAGCAGUAGGGAAUCUUCCACAAUGGGUGAAAACCUGAUGGAGCAAUGCCGCGUGAAUGAAGAAGGUCUUCGGAUCGUAAAGUUCUGUUAUUAGAGAAGAACAAGUCAAGGAGUAACUGUCUUGACUUUGACGGUACCUAACCAGAAAGUCACGGCUAACUACGUGCCAGCAGCCGCGGUAAUACGUAGGUGACAAGCGUUGUCCGGAAUUAUUGGGCGUAAAGGGAGCGCAGGCGGUUGGAAUAGUCUGAUGUGAAAGCCCACGGCUUAACCGUGGAAGGUCAUUGGAAACUGUCCAACUUGAAUACAGAAGAGGUAAGUGGAAUUCCAAGUGUAGCGGUGAAAUGCGUAGAUAUUUGGAGGAACACCAGUGGCGAAGGCGACUUACUGGUCUGUAAUUGACGCUGAGGCUCGAAAGCGUGGGUAGCAAACAGGAUUAGAUACCCUGGUAGUCCACGCCGUAAACGAUGAGUGCUAAGUGUUAGGGGGUGUCCGCCCCCUAGUGCUGGAGUUAACGCACUAAGCACUCCGCCUGGGGAGUACGGCCGCAAGGCUGAAACUCAAAGGAAUUGACGGGGGCCCGCACAAGCGGAGGAACAUGUGGUUUAAUUCGAUGAUACGCGAGGAACCUUACCCGGGCUCGAACGGUGCAUGAAUAUACGAGAGAUUGUAUAGUCCUUCGGGACAUGUAUCGAGGUGCUGCAUGGUUGUCGUCAGCUCGUGCCGUGAGGUGUCGGCUUAAGUGCCAUAACGAGCGCAACCCUUGUCAUUAGUUGCCAUCAGGUCAAGCUGGGGACUUUAAUGAGACUGCCACCGUAAGGUGUGAGGAAGGGGGGGAGGACGUCAAAUCAGCACGGCCCUUAUGUCCGGGGCGACACACGUGUUACAAUGGGAGGUACAGAGGGCAGCUAUCCGGUGACGGAAUGCUAAUCUCCAAAACCUUUCUCAGUUCGGAUUGGAGUCUGCAACUCGACUCCAUGAAGGUGGAUUCGCUAGUAAUCGCGCAUCAGCCAUGGCGCGGUGAAUAAGUUCCCGGGCCUUGUACUCACCGCCCGUCA
rnacentral:rRNA from 1 species